rnacentral:tRNA from 1 species
GUUAUGGUAGUUUAAUAAAACAUUAGUUUGUGACACUAAAAAUGGAGAUUACUCCCCCUAAC